AAGUAUGAGUGGAAACAAUUUGACAUUUGUCAAGAAUAACACUUUUGAACAUAACAACAACUUAAUAUAUAUAGAUCUUGAUUUGGUAUGUGAUUGCAAUGUUCCGUUUUGGUCAUGGGUAAAAUCACAAUCGUUUCAUGAAGACUUUGUCACCUGUUUGGAUCGGGGAAAUGUGAAACUGUCAAGUCUUCAAGAAAGUGAUUUCGAUAACUGUACCUACGACUCAUGUUAUCCUGACUAUUGUUCAAAUGGAGGAUCUUGUAGUCAAAACAGCUAUGGUGAUUUAGUAUGCUCGUGUGUCGGUGGAUUGACUGGUACUACCUGUACAGGUAUGGACAUGGUUGUGAUUAUGUGAAAUAAAAUAAAAACACAGUACUUUUGAUUCAUACAUUAUAACCUUUAUUCAAAUUAUUUUCAAUUUUACAAACUACAGUUUUAAAAUGAAAAUAAAACGCGAACUACAUCAUUAAAGAAAAUGCAAGAACAUUAUCAUUUCAAACAUUAUAAAUAAUAAUAAACCAUAGGUUGAUCAGCAUGAAUUCUCCAAAUUCAGGUAGAGCAAACCUGUUAAACCUUCCUACUUCACUGAUAGAAAAAGUUGUUGAUAAGAUACUUUUUUGAAGUCACAACCGAGGAAGCGUUGACUGAAUUGUUACUGCGACAUGGAACAUGUCUGUAGUCAUCUGUUAAAACCAAAUCCGUAUCGGUUAAAUUCACUAUCGAGGGAAGUAGUUCGUACAUAUUUGUAUCGAGAAAAGUAGUUCGCAAAUAGUACUAUCAAAAUAUCAUUGCAUUCAUUUUAUAUUAUGG